rfam:Chlorocebus sabaeus isolate 1994-021 chromosome 6, whole genome shotgun sequence.
GCCGGGCGCGGUGGCUCAAGCCUGUAAUCCCAGCACUUUGGGAGGCCGAGACGGGCGGAUCACGAGGUCAGGAGAUCGGAGCCCACCCGGCUUAACCCGGUAAACCCCGUCUCUACUAAAAAAUACAAAAAACUANNNNNNNNNNUAGUUUUUUGUAUUUUUUAGUAGAGACGGGGUUUACCGGGUUAAGCCGGGUGGGCUCCGAUCUCCUGACCUCGUGAUCCGCCCGUCUCGG